GAAAAUGAACUGGUUCUCUGGAUUUAUUCUAGUCAAACACAGAGCCAGGCUGAACAGGGCUUUUGCUGCUCCAUCUUUGAGUUCCUGGGCAACUAUGUGGCUCCCUGAGCUUUUGUUAAGAAAAGCAGAAGCACCAGGGCACCCAGAUCCUGAUGGCAUGUGGUAGGUGGAGAUUGCUCUCCUGCCCUGCAAGUUGGGCAAAUAGGAUGAAAAUUUCUGCACGUUUGAAGGCAGAAAGAACAAAGAACAGAGACAGAUGGGGAGUGG
rnacentral:lncRNA from 1 species